UUCAAAAUUAAUUGAAAAUUCAAGUCCUGUUUUUUUCGGCGUACUGUGUCUCAUCUAUUAUGGCAUUUAUAAAUUCAUAAUGACACUGGAAGUCGCACCCAGAAACGAUGCACAGAACCAAGUUCAAAACCAAGCCCAAAACCAAGCACCCCCAGCGCAAAGACUGUGUGCAGGUAUUCAUGUCUAACGCGAUUGAGGACGACAUCAUGGAAAGCUGGAACUUUAGCAGAACGUUGGAAAUUUUAGAGCUUUAUAUUGCCUAAACAUUCUUAAAGAAUGGUUAAAUUUUAAAACUUUUGUCAUGGCUAAAAGAGUACUUGAAUGUGGUUUUUAAAAUGUUGUAAGAGAAUACCUGGAAUAUCUGGAAGCUGUGGUCCAGAUAUUUCCAUAGCAAA